rnacentral:rRNA from 1 species
UACGAAGGGUGCAAGCGUUACUCGGAAUUACUGGGCGUAAAGCGUGCGUAGGUGGUUUGUUAAGUCUGUUGUGAAAGCCCCGGGCUCAACCUGGGAAUGGCAAUGGAUACUGGCAAGCUAGAGUGCGGUAGAGGGUAGUGGAAUUCCCGGUGUAGCGGUGAAAUGCGUAGAUAUCUGGAGGAACACCGGUGGUGUAAACGGCUUUCUGGACCAUUACUGACGCUGAUGCACGAAAGCGUGGGUAGCAAACAGG